rnacentral:rRNA from 1 species
GUGGGGAAUUUUGGACAAUGGGCGCAAGCCUGAUCCAGCAAUGCCGCGUGUGUGAAGAAGGCCUUCGGGUUGUAAAGCACUUUUGGCAGGAAAGAAAUAGCGCGUGCUAAUACCAUGCGCGAAUGACGGUACCUGCAGAAUAAGCACCGGCUAACUACGUGCCAGCAGCCGCGGUAAUACGUAGGGUGCAAGCGUUAAUCGGAAUUACUGGGCGUAAAGCGUGCGCAGGCGGUUUUGUAAGACAGACGUGAAAUCCCCGGGCUCAACCUGGGAAUGGCGUUUGUGACUGCAAAGCUGGAGUGCGGCAGAGGGGGAUGGAAUUCCGCGUGUAGCAGUGAAAUGCGUAGAUAUGCGGAGGAACACCGGUGGCGAAGGCGGCCACCUGGACAGGUACUGACGCUGAGGCGCGAAAGCGUGGGGAGCAAACAGGAUUAGAAACCCCGGUAGUCC